rnacentral:rRNA from 1 species
GCACGUAGUUAGCCGUGGCUUAUUCGCGGGGUACCGUCAUUAUCGUCCCCCGCAAAAGGGCUUUACGACCCGAAGGCCUUCAUCGCCCACGCGGCGUUGCUGGGUCAGGCUUUCGCCCAUUCCCAAGAUUCCUAG